AAUCAACCGAGAUUCCCCCAGUAGCGGCGAGCGAACGGGGAGGAGCCCAGAGCCUGAAUCAGCAUGUGUGUUAGUGGAAGCGUCUGGAAAGGCGCGCGAUACAGGGUGACAGCCCCGUACACAAAAGCGCAUGUGCUGUGAGCUCGAUGAGUAGGGCGGGACACGUGGUAUCCUGUCUGAAUAUGGGGGGACCAUCCUCCAAGGCUAAAUACUCCUGACUGACCGAUAGUGAACCAGUACCGUGAGGGAAAGGCGAAAAGAACCCCGGCGAGGGGAGUGAAAAAGAACCUGAAACCGUGUACGUACAAGCAGUGGGAGCCCCACCACUAAGCCAGUGGUGAACUCCACAUACGCAUCCUUUGCUGAGGAUACGGUUAACGGAGCGCAAGCGACGUUCAACCGCAAAAGAAGCAGAGGGGGCUUAGUGGUGGGGUGACUGCGUACCUUUUGUAUAAUGGGUCAGCGACUUAUAUUCUGUAGCAAGGUUAACCGUAUAGGGGAGCCGGAGGGAAACCGAGUCUUAAUUGGGCGUUAAGUUGCAGGGUAUAGACCCGAAACCCGGUGAUCUAGCCAUGGGCAGGUUGAAGGUUGGGUAACACUAACUGGAGGACCGAACCGACUAAUGUUGAAAAAUUAGCGGAUGACCUGUGGCUGGGGGUGAAAGGCCAAUCAAACCGGGAGAUAGCUGGUUCUCCCCGAAAGCUAUUUAGGUAGCGCCUCGUGAAUUCAUCUCCGGGGGUAGAGCACUGUUUCGGCUAGGGGGCCAUCCCGGCUUACCAACCCGAUGCAAAC
rnacentral:rRNA from 1 species